GACGUAGGUGGCGAACGUAUCCGGAAUCAUUGGGCGUAAAGGGUGCGUAGAUGGCAUGAUAAGUUAUUAGUGGGAAAUCGAGGCUCAACCUCGUGGAAGCUAGUAAUACUGUUUUGCUUGAGUACAGAAGAGGUUAACGGAACUCCAUGUGGAGCGGUAAAAAUGCGUAGAUAUAUGGAAGAACAUCAAUAACGGCGAAGGCAGUUAACUAUUCUGUUACUGACAUUGAGGCACGAAAGCGUGGG
rnacentral:rRNA from 1 species